rnacentral:rRNA from 1 species
CGGACGGGUGAGUAACGCGUGAGAAUCUGCCUUGAGGAUGGGGACAACAGUUGGAAACGACUGCUAAUACCCAAUGUGCCGGAAGGUGAAAAUUUUUUGCCUUAAGAGGAGCUCGCGUCUGAUUAGCUAGUUGGUGGGGUAAAAGCUUACCAAGGCAACGAUCAGUAGCUGGUCUGAGAGGAUGAGCAGCCACACUGGGACUGAGACACGGCCCAGACUCCUACGGGAGGCAGCAGUGGGGAAUUUUCCGCAAUGGGCGAAAGCCUGACGGAGCAAUACCGCGUGAGGGAGGAAGGCCUUUGGGUUGUAAACCUCUUUUCUCAGGGAAGAAGAUCUGACGGUACCUGAGGAAUAAGCAUCGGCUAACUCCGUGCCAGCAGCCGCGGUAAUACGGAGGAUGCAAGCGUUAUCCGGAAUUAUUGGGCGUAAAGCGUCCGCAGGUGGUCUUUCAAGUCUGCUGUCAAAGACUGGAGCUCAACUCCGGGCAGGCGGUGGAAACUGAGAGACUAGAGUACGGUAGGGGUAGCGGGAAUUCCCAGUGUAGCGGUGAAAUGCGUAGAUAUUGGGAAGAACAUCGGUGGCGAAGGCGCGCUACUGGACCGAAACUGACACUCAGGGACGAAAGCUAGGGGAGCGAAAGGGAUUAGAUACCCCUGUAGUC